rnacentral:rRNA from 1 species
CCUACGGGGGGCAGCAGUGAGGAAUAUUGGUCAAUGGGCGGGAGCCUGAACCAGCCAAGUCGCGUGAGGGCAGACGGUCCUACGGAUUGUAAACCUCUUUUGCCGGGGAGCAACGGGGUCCUUGCGAGGGCCCAAUGAGAGUACCCGGAGAAAAAGCAUCGGCUAACUCCGUGCCAGCAGCCGCGGUAAUACGGAGGAUGCGAGCGUUGUCCGGAUUUACUGGGUGUAAAGGGCGUGCAGCCGGGAAGACAAGUCAGAUGUGAAAUCCCGCGGCUCAACCGCGGAACUGCAUUUGAAACUGUUUUUCUUGAGUACCGGAGAGGUCAUCGGAAUUCCUUGUGUAGCGGUGAAAUGCGGAGAUAUAAGGAAGAACACCAGUGGCGAAGGCGGAUGACUGGACGGCAACUGACGGUGAGGCGCGAAAGCGUGGGGAGCAAACAGGAUUAGAUACCCGGGUAGUC